UCAAUCUCGAGACUCAUAGGUGUGAAUACUUAUGCAAAUAAGCAGUGCUGAAUGCUGUCUUUGAGAUGAGCGGAAGACAGAGAGUCAAAGGCUAUGUUCCAGAAUGGAGGCUGCGCUACAGUCAUGUUCAAUUAUGAGUUCAUAUACUGUAACACUCUAAACUACCAUAAACUAGUCAGGAAUAGUAUAAAAGGCAUUUUCUCACAUGAAAUGGUAGAUAUAUUAUUAUACUAUCAUUUGGAUAUGAAACAAACAGUAAUGCCUCCCCCCUCCUCCCUUUCCCUCCUCCUCUCUCUCUUUCACCCCUUCCUCCUCCCUCUCUUUCACCCCCCUUUCAUCAUAAUGUGAUUAAAACCCAAAAGUAAUGUGAAAUGCACUCAUAAUUUAUGACAUAAGUUUCAUCUGGGCUUGCUAGCCAGCUAAGCUAACUGCAGACUGGGCGGAGCAAUGCAUUAUAGGAGGUGAACUGCACCUUGGGAAUUGUAGUAUGCUAUAGUUGAGUGCUAUGCAGAAGCUUCAAAAAUGACAAAAAUGUGGAAUUGUGCAGUAUGACUAACAAAAACAAUAAAACAUCCAAAUGUGCAUCAAUUCUUACAGUAGUACAUAAAUUAUAUACAAACACAUAAUAACUGGUUAUAGAGUGGUUUAAUUGUUCUUUAAGCACUGUAAAGGGCUUUAUAAAAAUACAUUUGAUUGAA